GUUGGCGCUGUCCUGUUAGUGGCCAUAUUAAUGGAGAGAACUGACUAUUGCAUCGAUUCUUGUAACUAGUGGUUAUGGUUUCCAUGGCAACUGUUUAUUUUGCUUCAUAAAUUAGGAGACUAGCUAAUGCAUCACAUUUGGAAGGGCUGCUACUACACUAUUAAAUCAUAUGAGAAAGUGAUAAAUCAGACAUCAAAGUAUAAAUAGACUGAUCCUAAAGUUAACACACAUAACAAUAAUCAGACUGUUAUGGACAGAGCAAUGGCAAUUACAGUGUUUCGAACCUUUUGGUUAUUUUGAGGCAGGGUUCGACUGAACAGGCACGCAUGAGCACAUGUUUUGAAUAAGUAGCCCGCACAGAUGGACGAGCAGUAUGCGUUUUACGAUGCACUCAAACAUCACAGCGAUCACGGCCCUGCUCCGCCUCAUGCUGCACAGCCACAUUAAGCAGGCUUAGCUGAAUGUAGGUGAAAGGGCUUUCUGUCUCUCUCGCUUCCUGAAGCAGCUCCCCGCAGAGGAAGGAAAGAGUGGGGGAGGGGAACGUGUGGUAUUCUGAGGAAAAGCGGGAAGAAAAGAUCAUGGUGAUUUUAGUUCUUACUGAAGGCUACUUGACAGGUUUGUCUGCACAAGCAUGGCCAAGAAACGAAUAUAUGGAUUUGUGGUUUCAACCAAGACUUUUCAGGGUACAGAUCAGGGGAUAUUUCAGGACAGUCUUCACCUCACAACGCCUCCAGGCUUUCAUAUCUCUGUCCAAACAGAGCAUCCAAGUAGCGUAUUAUUUUUGCUCUGUAGAAAGAUCUCAAGUCCUCGCUCAAGGCUUCAACAUCAGGAUUCAUAGACAUAAGAGCUAAGAGGAACUGAAAUAGCUUCUCAUGUCAACUUCUGCUUAUGGACAGCACCGCACACAGCUUGUGUAGAGUCUGUACAUGGAGGAAUCCUAACCAGUAUGGCUUUGUUUCUUCUGUAGGACACAAAUAAGAUACUUUGAAGAAUGUUUGAACUGUUUUUGACCAUUUGCUUUCAUUGUAUGGACACAGAGACAUUUCUUUAAUAUCUUCUUUUUGUGUUUUCAGUCAUACAGGUUUGGAGCAACACAAGAUUUAGUAAAUUAUGGAAGAAUUGUUUUUUGGGUGGACUGUUCUUUUAAUUCCAGUGAGUUUCUUUAAACAAGGACAAGCCUCUUGUCCAUCUGUGUCUCAAUGAAUAUAAGUUAGUGAGUAAAGUUGCAGAGGAAACAGCACACCCACUCUGAGGUGCCUCGCAUCUUCUGCUCAGGUUCUUGCCACAGAUUCAGGCGAAUUUGAAGAGAUGUUCCAACCUGUCCUCCAUCCAGGUCUGGCAGCACACCCACGCUUUCUGUGGGCUGUCUGCGUGCAUAUUUAUGUUCCAGUAAUGCCUGAGAAGAAACAUGAGUCACAAGAGGGGGAGAAAGAAUACAAAUGUGGCAUGGUAGCCCACACUAUCAGUCUUGUUAUAAAAUAGAAAACAGUACUUUGGAUUAUUUCAGUAUUUGCAUAGUCUCUGAAUGCAUGUUUCACUCAAAAAAUUUCUCACCCUUUGCCAUUUCAAACCUGUAUGACCUUUGUUCUUCUGUGAAUAACAAAAUAUGAUAUUUUGAAGAAUACUGGUAACCAAACAGUUAUUGACUUUCAAUGGGCCAAAAAAACAAACACUGAGGCAUUUCUAUUAGUGAUGUAACAAUGAACUCAACUCAUGAUGCAAUAUGAAUCAUGAUUACACAAUACGAUUUAUUCCAAUUUUUUUCUUUUUUUUUUUUUUUUAAAUGAGACUUUAUAAAUGUUUAAUAUGGUUCUUCUAUUUAAUAUGUCCAUUUGUUUGUUUUACUUACUG
ensembl:lncRNA